UUAAGUGACGAAGCGUAUACGGUGGAUGCCUUGGCAGUUAGAGGCGAUGAAGGACGUGUAAGUCUGCGAAAAGCUGUGGUGAGCCGACAAAAUGCAUUUGAGCCACAGAUGUCCGAAUGGGGAAACCCACCUGUUUACAGGUAUCGUUACAUGAAUACAUAGUGUAACGAGGCGAACGAGGGGAACUGAAACAUCUAAGUACCCUUAGGAAAAGAAAUCAAACGAGAUUCCCCUAGUAGCGGCGAGCGAACGGGGAACAGCCCUUAAGCUGUUUAGUGUGUAGUGGAAUCCUUUGGGAAGAGGAGCGAUACAGGGUGAUAGCCCCGUACACAAAGCGUGCUUUACAGUGAAAUCGAGUAGGUCGGGACACGUGUUAUCUUGACUGAAUAUGGGGGGACCAUCCUCCAAGGCUAAAUACUCCUAACUGACCGAUAGUGAACCAGUACCGUGAGGGAAAGGCGAAAAGAACCCCUGUGAGGGGAGUGAAAUAGAACCUGAAACCGUAUACGUACAAGCAGUGGGAGCCCUUCGGGGUGACUGCGUACCUUUUGUAUAAUGGGUCAGCGACUUAUAUUUAGUAGCAAGGUUAAGCGAAUAGCGGAGCCGUAGCGAAAGCGAGUGUUAACUGCGCGUUGAGUUGCUAGGUAUAGACCCGAAACCCGGUGAUCUAGCCAUGAGCAGGUUGAAGGUUGAGUAACAUCAACUGGAGGACCGAACCCACUGACGUUGAAAAGUCAGGGGAUGACUUGUGGCUGGGGGUGAAAGGCCAAUCAAACCGGGAGAUAGCUGGUUCUCCCCGAAAUCUAUUUAGGUAGAGCCUCGGACGAAUUCCAUUGGGGGUAGAGCACUGUUAAGGCUAGGGGGUCAUCCCGACUUACCAACCCUUUGCAAACUCCGAAUACCAAUGAGAACUAUCCGGGAGACACACGGCGGGUGCUAACGUCCGUCGUGGAGAGGGAAACAACCCAGACCGCCAGCUAAGGUCCCAAAAUAUUGCUAAGUGGGAAACGAUGUGGGAAGGCACAGACAGCUAGGAGGUUGGCUUAGAAGCAGCCACCCUUUAAAGAAAGCGUAAUAGCUCACUAGUCGAGUCGGCCUGCGCGGAAGAUGUAACGGGGCUAAGCAAUAUACCGAAGCUGCGGAUACGUGUUUACACGUAUGGUAGGGGAGCGUUGUGUAAGUGGAUGAAGGUGGAUUGAGAAGUCUGCUGGACAUAUCACAAGUGCGAAUGCUGACAUGAGUAACGAUAAUGGGAGUGAAAAACUCCCACGCCGGAAGACCAAGGUUUCCUGUCCCAUGCUAAUCAGGGCAGGGUAAGUCGGCCCCUAAGGCGAGGCAGAAAUGCGUAGUCGAUGGGAAACGGAUUAAUAUUUCCGUACUUAUAUAAUCAGUGAUGGAGGGACGGAGAAGGCUAAGCAAGCUUGGCGUUGGUUGUCCAAGUGAAAGCAAGUAGGCCGAGUGUUUAGGUAAAUCCGGACACUUAAAGCUGAGAUGCGAGACGAGCUACUACGGUGGUGAAGUUGUUGAUGCCCUGCUUCCAGGAAAAGCUUCUAAACUUAUGAUUAUAUGAACCGUACCCCAAACCGACACAGGUGGUCAGGUAGAGAAUACUAAGGCGCUUGAGAGAACUCGGGUGAAGGAACUCGGCAAAAUUGUACCGUAACUUCGGGAGAAGGUACGCCUCUGUGUGUGAAGACUUCGCGUCGUAAGCACAUGGAGGCCGCAGUGACCAGGUGGCUGGGACUGUUUAUUAAAAACACAGCACUCUGCAAACUCGUAAGAGGACGUAUAGGGUGUGACACCUGCCCGGUGCCGGAAGGUUAAUUGAUGGGGUUAGUCUUCGGACGAAGCUCUUGAUCGAAGCCCCGGUAAACGGCGGCCGUAACAAUAACGGUCCUAAGGUAGCGAAAUUCCUUGUCGGGUAAGUUCCGACCUGCACGAAUGGUGUAACCAUGGCCACGCUGUCUCCACCCGAGACUCAGUGAAAUUGAAAUCGCAGUGAAGAUGCUGUGUACCCGCACCUAGACGGAAAGACCCCGUGAACCUUUACUACAGCUUGGCACUGAACAUUGAACCUACAUGUGUAGGAUAGGUGGGAGGCUUCGAAGCACAGUCGCUAGAUUGUGUGGAGCCGUCCUUGAAAUACC
rnacentral:rRNA from 1 species